rnacentral:rRNA from 1 species
GACGAACGCUGGCGGCGUGCCUAAUACAUGCAAGUCGAGCGGACGAAUCGAAAGCUUGCUUUUGAUUCGUUACCGGCGGUCGGGUGAGUAACACGUGGGCAACCUGCCCUGUAGACGGGGAUAACACCGAGAAAUCGGUGCCAAUACCGGAUAACACGAAAUGUCGCAUGACGUUUCGUUGAAAGACGGCGCAAGCUGUCGCUACAGGAUGGGCUCGCGGCGCAUUAGCUAGUUGGUGAGGUAACGGCUCACCAAGGCGACGAUGCGUAGCCGACGAGAGAGGGUGAUCUGCCACACUGUGACUGAGACACGGCCCUGACUCGUAUGUGAGGCAGCAGUAGGGCAUCUUCCGCAAUGGACGAAAGUCAGACGGAGCAGCGCCGCGUGAGCGAAGAAGGCCUUCGGGUCGUAAAGCUCUGUUGUUAGGGAAGAACAAGUAACGCAGUAACUGGCGUUACCGUGACGGUACCUAACGAGAAAGCCACGGCUAACUACGUGCCAGCAGCCGCAGUAA